UCUGGGUAUGACUUCGAUGUUUACAUCCAUUUUGGAGCUGGUGCGUACAUUUGUGGUGAAGAGACUGCGCUUCUUGAAAGUCUCGAAGGGAAGCAAGGAAAGCCUAGGUUGAAGCCUCCGUUCCCUGCUAAUGCUGGUUUGUACGGUUGUCCCACAACUGUUACCAAUGUGGAAACGGUGGCUGUUUCUCCUACCAUUUUAAGGCGUGGACCUGAGUGGUUUUCGAGUUUUGGUAGGAAGAAUAACUCUGGGACGAAGCUGUUUUGUAUAUCGGGCCAUGUUAACAAGC
rnacentral:lncRNA from 1 species